UCCUUUUCUCCCUACAACUAUAGAGAAUACAACAACUUAAUUUAAUUUAAUAAGGUUUGCCAGUAAUCCCUCUUAGAAUACCUAGGAUGAAUGCCUGGUGCCAUCAGCCUGGGAUGCUUUAUAUAAGACUUUUAAGUUAGAGACUACUGUGCAAAGAAAUGAAAAUUGCUUCAAAACUCUCUUCAGAAAUAUUCUUCUAUGUUGUCAUCUCUUAGUCAUCCCAAAUAUUUCAGAGAUAUAUUUUCCCCUCCUUCUUACCAGCUAAUACCAAUUUUCGCAUCAAUAACUACUCAGCUCCAAUGUCACUUUUUUUCCAAUGUCACUUUUAAGGAAUGUUUUCCCCAACUUUAGACUGAAUUGGUCCUCCUAUGAAAUUCUUUUAGAACACAACACGAUUUUACCUCAUGGUGACUGUCACAUUGCCUCCACAAUUAUUUGUAAGGUAAUAAUUCUUGCCUUUCUCUCUCAGUAUGUUAUAAAAUAAAAAGAGGACCAACUAUGUUGUGUCUCUUUGAGAUGACUAUUUGCUACCCAGAUGAAGGAACAAAGCAAGCAUUCAAUAAAUGAAUGACAAAUCAAUUUCCCUCAGUGAGAUGAACAAAAACAGACCUGGGAAUUAGGAUGUACAACUCAAGAAAGGUGAGUGAAAAAAGCUUUCCCCCUGUACAGAAACAGUGGUAGACUUUAUGCCAUGCUUAUGAAAUGGUGGUGACUGACUGGAUAAACACCACAGGGCCUGGGACCAGCUUAUCUGUGCUCAAAACCAAACUCAGUAAUUGCCAGUUGUGGAAAUUUGUAGGGAUAAAGUUAUUUGUCUUAUUUUAUGUUUUCUCUUCCUGUUUCUAUGUCUUCUCACUUCCUACCCCACCUCAUUAUCUUUUGAAGGAAAGGAGAUCUUCACUCCUUUGAAAAAAAGAAAAUGAAGAAGAAAGAGCAGGAAGAGGAGGAGCAGGAGGAGAAGGAAAGAAGCAAGGAAGGAAAGAAGAAGGAAGGAAGGAAGAAGGAAAGAAAGACAAAGAAAGAAAAAGAAAGAAAGAAAAAAAGAAAGAAAGAAAUUUAUGGAGCUAGCUCAGCUGAUUCCCUGGAGGAAGAUGCUGCUGGCUUUACAGAAUGUAGAGUCACCUGGAAAAGGAACAGCUGGGCAUGCCUAUGAGAGAAUAUCUUGACUACAUAAAUUAAUGACAGAAAAACUCUAUUAGUUGUGGGGUAACCAUUCUCUGGGCAGUAGAUCUUGAGUUGUAUUAAAUAAAGUUAGAUAAACAGCAGAAUAGAAUCAUUCAUCUAUCCCUGCUUCCUGAUAUUGGAUGACCACCACCACCCCCAUGUUCCAGACAUACUGACUUCCUCACUAAGAACUCAGAACUGUGAUCAAGUCAAAACCCAUUAUUCAUGACCUGGAGAGGACAGGAGUUCCACAAGGACCAAAUAUAUCUGGGCACAGGGGUCUUUUAUGAGACUGUUUCUCCAAACAAGGACAGUGUAUGGAUGCAACCUAGAGCCCCUGCUCAGAUGUAGCCUUUGGUAGCUCAGUAUCCAAGUUGGUACCCUAAUAAGGGGAACUUGGACUGUUUCUGACAUGAACUCGAUGGCGGGCUUUUUGAACCCCGCUCCCCUGGGAAGAGCAGCCUUGCUAGGCCACAGAGGAGGACUUUGAAGCCAGUCCUAAAGACACCUGAUAAACCAGUAUCAGAUGUAAGGGGAAGAGGUUCUCCCUUAUCAGUGGACUUGGA